rnacentral:misc_RNA from 1 species
AACUUUUGACAACGGAUCACUUGGUGCUGGCAUCGAUGAAGAACGCAGCGAAAUGCGAUAAGUAAUGUGAAUUGCAGAAUUCAGUGAAUCAUCGAAUCUUUGAACGCACAUUGCGCCCGGUGGUAUUCCGCCGGGCAUGCCUGUUCGAGCGUCAUUUAAACCAAUCCAGCCUCGUGCUUGGGUCUUGGGCCUUUCGCCUCUGGGCGGGCCUCAAAAUCAGUGGCGGUGCCUUCUGGCUCUAAGCGUAGUAAUACUCCUCGCUAUAGAUGUUAGGUGGUGUCUUGCCAGCAAUCCCCAAUUUUUAAAGGUUGACCUCGGAUCAGGUAGGGAUACCCGCUGAACUUAAGCAUAUCAAUAAGCGGAGGCU